rnacentral:rRNA from 1 species
UACGUAGGGUGCGAGCGUUGUCCGGAAUUAUUGGGCGUAAAGAGCUUGUAGGCGGUUUGUCGCGUCUGCUGUGAAAAUCCGGGGCUCAACCCCGGACUUGCAGUGGGUACGGGCAGACUAGAGUGUGGUAGGGGAGACUGGAAGUUCCUGGUGUAGCGGUGAAUGCGCAGAUAUCAGGAGGAACACCGAUGGCGAAGGCAGGUCUCUGGGCCACUACUGACGCUGAGAAGCGAAAGCAUGG